GAUGAACGCUAGCUACAGGCUUAACACAUGCAAGUCGAGGGACCGGCGCACGGGAGAGUAACACGUAUCCAACCUGCACUGUACUCGGGGACAGCUGUUCGAAAGAAAGAUUAAUACCCGACAUAAAGGAUGGGGAUGCGUUACAUUAGGUUGUGGGUGAGGUAACGGCCCACCAAGCCUUCGAUGGCUAGGGGUUGUGAGAGGAAGGUCCCCGAGAUCUGAACCGCGACACGGUCCAAACUCCGACGGGGGGCUGCAGUGUGGAAUAUUAGUCACUGGGCGCUAGCCUGAACCAGCCAAGUGUCGUGAAGGGUGAAGGCGUAUGAGUCUUAAACUUCUUGUAUAUAAGAAUAUUUAUUAUAUGAAUAAGGAUCGGCUAACUCCGUGCCAGCAGCCGCGGUAAUAC
rnacentral:rRNA from 1 species